rnacentral:rRNA from 1 species
ACUCCUACGGGAGGCAGCAGUGAGGAAUAUUGCGCAAUGGGGGCAACCCUGACGCAGCAACGCCGCGUGAGUGAGGAAGGUUUUCGGACCGUAAAGCUCUGUCGAGCGGGAAGAAAUGCAUAGUGGCUAAUAUCCAUUAUGCUUGACGGUACCGCUAAAGGAAGCACCGGCUAACUCCGUGCCAGCAGCCGCGGUAAUACGGGGGGUGCUAGCGUUGUUCGGAAUCAUUGGGCGUAAAGAGCGUGUAGGCGGCUGGAUAAGUCAGAUGUGAAAGCCCUGGGCUUAACCCAGGAAGUGCGUUUGAAACUGGCAGACUUGAAUACGGGAGAGGGUAGUGGAAUUCCUGGUGUAGGAGUGAAAUCCGUAGAUAUCAGGAGGAACACCGGUGGCGAAGGCGGCUACCUGGACCGAUAUUGACGCUGAGACGCGAAAGCGUGAGUAGCAAACAGGAUUAGAUACCCUGGUAGUC